rnacentral:tRNA from 1 species
UGGGUUGUAGCUCAGUGGUAGAGUGCUUGCCUAGCAUGUGUGAGGCACUGGGUUCGAUCCCCAGUACCACAU